CUCUACCCAUUUUUGUAUAAUUCUGUCUAUGUCAUGUUCUCAGUGGAAUAUGGGUGAAGAUGAGGUUUUCUAGAACAUACUGAUGCCAUUUGACACCCUGGAUUCCACAGCCAAGGCUGGCCUAAGCAGGUGAAGACAGCAAAGAUUCGAGAGUUAAUGUGAUUUCCCAUCACCCACUAAGUCACAGCUGAAACCAAGAGACAACUGCAGGUCUGGCUGCACUGAAGUCCACGUUUUCUCAGGCUUCAGUUGAACUACUUCCAAAAUGUUUUUAUUGGGUUCCAACUAAUUAAUCCACGAAGAAGAUAAAAGACAAGCCUCCAAAGUUAAUGCUGUCGGCAUUUAAAAACUACCGAACAUGAGGAACAAGGAGGGAAAGGAUCUAACAUUUUUUAAAAUGUCCUCCAUGUGACAGACCUUGUGGUAGGUGAAAUUCAGGACAAGGUUGAUCCACUGUUUUGGGAACACAGCUCAAUGUUCCAUAUGAAAUACUUGUUGAGGUCAUUAAAGAUUGGUGGAAAAUAUAAAGAUUCAAUGAUAAAGAAUGCAGCUACAGGAAAACAGCAACAGAGGAAUAAUGUAUUUGAAAUUGAAGUGUUCAUGAUAUAAUUUGUAAAGAUUCAUGCAAGUUCAUAGAAGUUCACACCCCAUAGGACCUGGAAGGAGACUGUGUGAGCAUUAGGGGCACAAGGACCGAAUUUCCUCUUUUCCCUGUUCAUCCCAGGGUAGGCUGAAGCCCUGAGGAGAAUAUCCCCAAAGAGAGGUAAUUGCAACCAUCACAGCAUUCUAACCUCAGAGAUCCAGAAAUGCGAUACCCAUCUAAGACCAAACCACUGGACACAGAAAAUAUGAAUAUUAUUCUUUUGGAGAUAUU